CCGCCGCCGCCGCCGAGUAGCGCCGCGCCGCCAGCUCCCGCCCGUCCCCGGCGGCCCGGCCGCCGCCGCACCCGCAGCUCCCGGCCUCGGCAGCCCCGGCUGUUCCCGCUAUUCCCAUUCCCAUCCACAUUCCCAGCAGCAGGAACACCCCGCGCGCGACCCCUCUGGGCGCCGCCAUGUCGGCGCCGGGAUCACGUGCCGCCCGCCGUCACGUGACCGCUCGCGCCUUAAAGGGGCCGGGCCGCGCCCUGAGGGGGCGGGAGGCCCGCCAUGGCCCCUCCUGUCCCCUCACUGCGGGACAUGGAGCAUCCCUGAGGAGGAGAGGCUGCUUAGGGACGGUUUAGUCUAGAGAAAAGUGAAAGGGGAUUUCACCCAUCCACAGAAACAUCUCAAAUAUCCACACAAAUAUCUUAAUCUCAGAGGGGAUCUCAUCGAUCCAUAUAGGGAUCUCGAAUAUCGAUACAAAUAUCUCGUCUGAGGGGGGAGCUCAUCAAGCCAUACAAAUGUCUCAUCAACCCACGAGUUUUCAGUGCAGGUCACCGAGAAGCAGUUUGUACCCAGGUGAGCCCACUGUGUGAGCCAACAGGUCAGGGAUGGAAAUGCCUCUAUCCAGAGCUGUCAAUAUCUGCUACCUCAGGGACCUGGGCUGGCCUGUAUCUCACUAAAGACAGGAAGCUUUUGUGAUCCUCUCCCUCAUCGUGAAGACCAACCACGAGCAGGAUGAGACAGUUUGAUCCUCACAGUCUUGGAAUGUCUUCUGCUCUCAUUUUCUUCCAGGGGUGUUCAUUGUGCAGCUGAACCAAGAGCAGAGACAAAACCUCUGCAAACCCACCCUGCAAGGCUGGAGUCCUUUCCAUCCAAAACAGUCCAAAAAAGUCAAUGGUUAGUUGAAAAUUUGGCAGAAUCAAGUAAGAUAAUAUAAAUAAAAAGCAAGUAAAAGA